UACGUAGGGUGCGAGCGUUGUCCGGAAUUAUUGGGCGUAAAGAGCUUGUAGGCGGUCUGUCGCGUCUGCUGUGAAAAUCCGGGGCUCAACCCCGGACUUGCAGUGGGUACGGGCAGACUAGAGUGUGGUAGGGGAGACUGGAAUUCCUGGUGUAGCGGUGAAAUGCGCAGAUAUCAGGAGGAACACCGAUGGCGAAGGCGGGGUCUCUGGGCCGAUACUGACGCUGAGGAGCGAAAGCGUGGGGAGCGAACAGG
rnacentral:rRNA from 1 species